AGUGAACGCUGGCGGUAGGCCUAACACAUGCAAGUCGAACGGCAGCACAGUAAGAGCUUGCUCUUACGGGUGGCGAGUGGCGGACGGGUGAGGAAUACAUCGGAAUCUACUUUUUCGUGGGGGAUAACGUAGGGAAACUUACGCUAAUACCGCAUACGACCUACGGGUGAAAGCAGGGGAUCUUCGGACCUUGCGCGAUUGAAUGAGCCGAUGUCGGAUUAGCUAGUUGGCGGGGUAAAGGCCCACCAAGGCGACGAUCCGUAGCUGGUCUGAGAGGAGGAUCAGCCACACUGGAACUGAGACACGGUCCAGACUCCUACGGGAGGCAGCAGUGGGGAAUGUUGGACAAUGGGCGCAAGCCUGAUCCAGCCAUACCGCGUGGGUGAAGAAGGCCUUCGGGUUGUAAAGCCCUUUUGUUGGGAAAGAAAAGCAGCAGGUUAAUACCCCGCUGUUCUGACGGUACCCAAAGAAUAAGCACCGGCUAACUUCGUG
rnacentral:rRNA from 1 species